AUGUGGUCUGAUCUCUUUCAGAUGGCCCUAGGAAUCCCUCAGUCUGUCUGGCCGUCAUCUGAAGUAUCGGAGGGUAGUGAUGUUACUUUGACCUGCAGCAGCAAUGCUAACCCAACAUUGAACUACACUUGGUUUAAAAUGGAUGGAGACAGUUGUCUGGAAAUGGUAACUCAGGCUGAGCUACAGUUUAAUGUUAGUCACACUGGUAAUAGUGGGAAAUACUUCUGUGUCGUCAGCAAUAAGCAUGGAAGACAGAAUAGUGGAAUUCUAUCUCUGAAAGUCAAAGAUCAUGCAAAGGGGUGGCAGCUGUGACACUCAAAAUACUUAUUGCCGUUCUUGCUGUAGUGCCAAUGAUUGUCAUUUUGCCGAUGGUCGCUUGGCAUCUUGUUGCUCACAGGUAGGUUUUAACCACUAUUUCCUCAACUAUUUUUAGCUCAUUUACUUUGCAUUCUAAAUUAGUCAUAAUCAUGCUGCCUAUUUCCGUGUCUUCAGGAAAAAGACUACAGCACCAAAAUCAGACACAGAAGAGAACACACAGGUGACAAUAUGUUUUAAACUAUUUGUUACCAACUAUUUGUUACCAGCUAUUUGUUUUGGGCUAUACACAUGUCAUAUAUGUGCUUUUGUGUUGCAACCACACAAUAAUUAUUCCGUUCUUAUCAUCCAACUAAUUGUGACGAUGAUAGGCAUGCUGAUGGCUGUAGCAUAAAUAGUGACUGUUUGCAUGUUCUGUACAUAUGAUAGCUGUGCCACACUGUGCUGCAAAUGCAUUGGGUUCGUAUGAAUAGUGACUGCUUGCACUUUUUAUGCUACAGCCAUCAGCAUGCCUAGAGUCUUCACCACAAAAACACCCACAACGUUCAUGGUGAGAUGCAAGCAGAAAAUCCUGCAACCAGCAUAGAUCGUAAUUGUAUAUGUCUGUGUGGGUAGGAGCAAGUGUACUGGCUGAUUCACAGAGGAAAUUAAUGUGAAAGUGUGAUCAUUUACAUAAGGAACUGGAAAUAUUGUAGCUUAACUUUGUCUGCCCAGAUUUUUUUUAAACUAUUGUGCAGAAAGUUCUGCUGUUCACAAAUGCAUUGCCAGUAUUUUCUCUGUCUCUAUCUCACUGUGUCUCGACCACAGAAGCGCAUGUAACCAGCCCCACGUCAGACUGUACCCUGACAGAAGAGCGGAGAGAGGAGGAACCAUCUCAACAGGAUGAAGUCAUCUAUACAACAGUGCACACCAACACCAAGCAAAAGGCAAACAUGUAAGUAAAGUGAUAAUUGAUUAAACAAUACACAAAUCAAUGGGUGAUGUUACCUUUACCAACUGCACUGUGUUUGUGUUCACGUCCUCUGUAAGACAACAGCAGAACGAGGAAGCUACGCCCAUCUACAGCUCUAUAUCGUAAGAAUGCUACUUUUAAAAAAAUGCACUUAAUAUGACCAUUUUCUUGUGAUAACCAACAACAAUACGUGUGUUUCUGUUUCCACAUGUUCAGGGAGCAACAAGCCAAGGAGGAUCUCUACAGUGUAGUAUCCAGGUACCAACCUGUUCUAUCCUCUCUGCAACAAGGACAAUUACCAUCGCAAUGACAGUCUUGCGUAUAACUUUAAUGUUGUUUUUGCCAACAACACCUCUUCAUAUUCUAAUGGUCUACAGCCAUGUUUUUAGACCUAGUAUAAACCAGUCUUUAGCAACAUUGAUUUGUAUAAUAGCAAUUAUAAUGUAAAAGAUAAUGACAACAAUAGAAUUCCACAACCAUGAUAAUUACUGUGUUCUUGUUUGUAGGCCCACUCCUAGGGGGAAACGGGCCCAGGAUGACCCAGUCAUCUACACCGGUAACACAUCUCAACUAAGACUUUGGCUGCAUUUUAGACAAGCAGCCCAAAUUCUGUAUUUUUUUUCACUAAUUGGUCUUUUUACCAAUCAGAUCAGCUCUGAAAAAGAUCUGAUGUUAAAAGAUCAGAAUUGGGCUGCCUGUCUAAGCGUAGCCUUUAUUGCCUUGAUGUUUUAAAAUACAACAAAUAUGAUCAUGCAGUACUAUUACCGUAAACAUAAGGCAGAUAAUUUCAGAAGUAAAAUCUGUUUUACAGUGUACAUUGACCCAUUCAUACUUUCUUUGAGCUUUCUUAAGAGUUUAUUUUGGUUUCAGGCAGUAGUUGAGAUGUUGCCUGGCUAAACUCCUUACUCUGACCAAACGCUAUGCCACACCCACAGAUGUUAGUGUCUUCUGAGUCUGGAUCUGAGUACCUUCCUGACAAUAUCUAGAAUGCAAACACAUUCUAACCGCUCUGAUUGGUCCCAGAAACCGAUGGUUCAGGCCAGAGCCAGAACACACGUGGAUAAAGCGCAUAGAUAGAGGACUCAUCUUUUUAUCUGUGACAGCAUGUGCAGCACCAUUGAGGCUAUCUUCAUUUUGAAGUAGUACAUUUUCUUCUUCAGGUUGGCUGAUCCCUCCUGAUGAACCGGUUGGACAUGACUCCAAUAUGGCCACCAGGAGGGAUCAGCCAAUAAAUGUUGGAAGUCCCACCCAGUUGAUUACAUUAAAAUGGUGGAAGCCUUCAAUGGCGCUUUGAAAAUUCUUCAUUGGCUUUGAUACUGAUUGGUUAGAGAUGAUCCAAUUGCUGGUGACCUCAUUUUUUUAUAUUAAAAAAAAAUGUUUACCCCCUUUCUCCCCAAUUUCGUUGUAUCCAAUUGUUAGUAGUCACUGUUUUGUCGCUACAACUCCCGCACGGACUCAGAAGAGGUGAAGGUCGAGACCCGGAAGCCAGCCGCACCAAUGUGUCGGAGGAAACACGUACACCUAGCGACCUGGUCAGUGCGCACUGCACCCGGCCCGCCACAGGAGUCGCUAGUGCUUGAUGAGACAAGGAUAUCCCUGCCGGCCAAGCCCUCCCUAACCCGGACAACGCUAGGCCAAUUGUGCGCCGCCCCAUGGGCCUCCCGGUCGCGGCCGGGUGCGACAGAGCCUGGGCGAUGCAGUGCCUUAGACCACUGCGCCACCCGGGAGGCCCAUGUGGUGACGUCAAAAUGAGGUCAUCAAAAACAACUUCAACGCUGUCAGUCUGACUGAAGUACAUAGCAAACAGAACGGCUGAAGAUUUAAGUUACCUUGAGUCGUCAGGCAAGUUGACACACAAUGGACCCUGAGGAUCUAUUAGACUCCACUAGAGGUCAGAACAGAGCCUCUGCAUGAUGAAUGAACUCACAGCUGUGAACAGAGGAAGAGAUUAUGGUAUCUGCACUCAUUUAAAUAUUCCAUAAGAAUAAAGAUUCCAAUAGUUUGAGACAUUGUUUCUUUUUGUUUUAAUUUUUCAAUGUAUUUCACCUAGUCAUAUGCAUCUGGCAAUGCAUUUUACUUAAUUUAAUUUUAAAACCCUUUCCUGCAGUCAAACGACCAAAAGCACUCUCAUUGGCAGUUUGUUAAUAUUUUUUAAUUUCAUAACUAAUAAACAUUAUAUCCGGUGUUCUAUUUAAAGAUGGUUUUGUAUAUUUCAGUCUUCUAUAAUGUAUAUAAAGUGUAAUAUUGGGAUGCAAAACUGAAUAAAUUUCAAUUCUAUAUGUGACAUGGUACAGGUGUCUUCUUUUUUAAACCAUAACCAUGUGUGUGACGUAUAUACUUCUGUUUCAAAGUAGAUUUGUCUAAGACUACCAAGAAACACUGUGACCCUGAUUUAGCCCACUGCAGAAAAAAAAGUACUUUAACUUCAUUGUAUGUACUUUAU
rnacentral:lncRNA from 8 species